UGUUCUAUGGCUGAAUUGGUAAAGGCAUCGCCGAUCACAGUUGCGGGUUCGAGUCCCGCUGGAACGG
rfam:Operophtera brumata OBRT01_Sc03524, whole genome shotgun sequence.